rnacentral:rRNA from 1 species
UACGUAGGGGGCAAGCGUUGUCCGGAAUCAUUGGGCGUAAAGCGCGUGUAGGCGGCUCGAUAAGUCUGCUGUGAAAGUCCAGGGCUCAACCCUGGAAUGCCGGUGGAAACUGUCGAGCUAGAGUCCGGAAGAGGCGAGUGGAAUUCCUGGUGUAGCGGUGAAAUGCGCAGAUAUCAGGAGGAACACCAAUGGCGAAGGCAGCUCGCUGGGCCGUUACUGACGCUGAGGAGCGAAAGCGUGGGGAGCAAACAGG